UACGUAGGGUGCAAGCGUUAAUCGGAAUUACUGGGCGUAAAGCGUGCGCAGGCGGCUUUGCAAGACAGAUGUGAAAUCCCCGGGCUCAACCUGGGAACUGCAUUUGUGACUGCAUGGCUAGAGUGCGGCAGAGGGGGAUGGAAUUCCGGCGUGUAGCAGUGAAAUGCGUAGAUAUGCGGAGGAACACCGAUGGCGAAGGCAAUCCCCUGGGCCUGUACUGACGCUC
rnacentral:rRNA from 1 species